rnacentral:rRNA from 1 species
UACGUAGGGUGCGAGCGUUGUCCGGAAUUAUUGGGCGUAAAGAGCUCGUAGGUGGUCUGUCGCGUCUGCUGUGAAAACCCGGGGCUCAACUCCGGGCUUGCAGUGGAUACGGGCAGACUAGAGUUCGGUAGGGGAGACUGGAAUUCCUGGUGUAGCGGUGAAAUGCGCAGAUAUCAGGAGGAACACCGGUGGCGAAGGCGGGUCUCUGGGCCGAUACUGACGCUGAGGAGCGAAAGCAUGGGUAGCGAACAGG